AAACAGUUCGAAUGCAGGUAAAAGUCAACUUUCGUAGUUUUUGGCUUUUUAAUUCUUUUGAACUCCAAGAAUACAAUGCUAGUAUAAUGAGUAAUGUACUACAAACUUUGAAGCUACUAUUAGGCUAUACGGCCAGUCGUAUUAGAUACCACAUAAUUCAGUAGAUCCAUCACCUUUUCUGGCAUAACAUCGACAGAUACACUUAUUUCUCGUAGGCUCGUGUAUUUAUUUCAUUAAUAGGAUCCACUGUCAAAUGGCUUUAAAUAUCACCAGCAGGCCGUCCAUGCUGUUGAGAAUCUACAGUGGCAUCAAUCUUCUAUAUUUGAAGAACCAUAAAAAUGCAAAGAAUAUCACUGCUCCAGUUACACCUGUAAUUAUUAAGACCCAUUUGAAUGCAUUUGGUUCAUUAAACAUGGGUAUUUCAAAAUUCAUCCCAAAAAUUCCUGCCACAACCCCAAAGAUGGCAACCACAAAGGUUGCAGUUGUAAGUAGCAACUCAAAUUGAAUAAGCUGAUUCCGUACAUUAUCCAGUUGAAUGUUGAUGAAAUCUUCGGUAUCAUCAAUAUACUCCUUCAACGAUGUUAACUUGUUGAGGGUGCUGUCAAUGACAACAAAAUAAGCUUCCAAGAGCAUCUCCAGUUCUUCUAUACUCUGAGUUUCAGUGCCACUUUCCGAACUUCUCAUGCUUUCAUGCCUGCUUCUUGCUAUGCUCAAGCUUUUUUCAAGCCUCCUGCUCUCAGGGGGUGAAGAAACAGGGGAAACUGGAGCAGACAAAGACAAUGCACCAUCUGUUGACCUGUAGCCAAGCAAUGAUUGAUCUCCAUAGCAAGACAAUUCCAUCCGCCUUUUCUUCUCAGUGAGGUACAUCUCAGCCAUGUCUCCAUCAUCAUCCAUAAGCUGCUCUAUCUCAUCUCUAACCUUCUGAACUCUACGAGUCAAAGCAACAAGCCUGCUUUUCAAUCUACGAACUCGUUCCAAAUUCAAGGUACUAAUUUUAGAUGUAAGUUCAUCCAACAAUGGGUAUGCUUCAAUCUCUA
rnacentral:misc_RNA from 1 species